UGGCUCAGUUGGUAGAGCAUGGUGUUUGCAACGCCAGCAUGGUGUGUGCAACGCCAGGGUUGUGGGUUCGAUUCUCAC
rfam:Salmo salar isolate Sally breed double haploid chromosome ssa12, whole genome shotgun sequence.